UACGUAGGGUGCGAGCGUUGUCCGGAAUUAUUGGGCGUAAAGAGCUUGUAGGCGGUCUGUCGCGUCUGCUGUGAAAAUCCGGGGCUCAACUCCGGAUCUGCGGUGGGUACGGGCAGACUAGAGUGAUGUAGGGGGAGACUGGGAAUUCCUGGUGUAGCGGUGAAAUGCGCAGAUAUCAGGAGGAACACCGAUGGCGAAGGCAGGUCUCUGGGCAUUAACUGACGCUGAGGAGCGAAAGCAUGGGGAGCGAACAGG
rnacentral:rRNA from 1 species